rnacentral:tRNA from 5 species
CGGUUUGGUAGUUCAGUUGGUUAGAAUGCCUGCCUGUCACGCAGGAGGUCGCGGGUUCGAGUCCCGUCCAGACCGU